rnacentral:rRNA from 1 species
GACGAACGCUGGCGGCGCGCUUAACACAUGCAAGUCGAACGGAAAGGCCUGCUUUCCCUUGUGGAUUGCGGGUACUCGAGUGGCGAACGGGUGAGUAACACGUGAGUGAUCUGCCCCCAACUUGGGUAUAAGCCUGGGAAACUGGGUCUAAUUCCCGAUAGGACUGCAGGGUGGUGCCUGUGGUGGAACACGAUUUCUAGUGGUUGGGGAUGAGCUCGCGGCCUAUCAGCUUGUUGGUGGGGUAAUGGCCUACCAAGGCGGCGACGGGUAGCCGGCCUGAGAGGGUGGACGGCCACAUUGGGACUGAGAUACGGCCCAGACUCCUACGGGAGGCAGCAGGGGGGAAUAUUGCACAAUGGGCGGAAGCCUGAUGCAGCGACGCCGCGUGGGGGAUGACGGCCUUCGGGUUGUAAACUCCUUUCGACCGCGAGGAAGCCACCUGGUUGGAAGGGUGGUGACGGUAGUGGUAGAAGAAGUACCGGCUAACUACGUG